AGGGUAGCGUUUUUUCUAAAAUCAAUAUAGAGCGCAGACAGGACAGGAUUGUACAUUCACCUGGGCAGGCAGGCAGUUGUCGGUGAAAUGUAUAACUAAUUUAUCAGAUGGUUCCUCUAACUAUGCAGCACAUUUUCAGGACUACAAUGGAAUACUGGAUUAAAUAUAAUAGAAAUCCUUCCACCACAUUUUUGCUUUUCAGUGGUGCCUACAUGAAUGUAGAGAUAAAAGUAAAAAUCAGUGGUACUUAAUUACUAACUAAAUUCAAUGGUAAAACAAGAAAGAUUAACAUAUUGACCAUAUUAGUUAUUCUUAUUUAUUUAGUAACAGGAUCUUGUGUGUGCUCAGAAAGUCCAGCAUCUAUUGGCAAUGACUAAUCAGCAGCUGGGCCAUUUUGGAGACCAGUCAACAAUCAACCACAUUGAUGGUUCUGGCAUUACCAGUAGAUCAAACAGGGUAAGGAAGUCACAUCUCUGUGUGAUGGACAUUCGUGAAUCAGGUGGGUCCUAAUAACAAUCCAGCAGUUUUGUUGUCAUAGUCACUGAUACUAGCUUUCUGUUUGUGAUGAUAAUUACUUGAAUUUAAACUUGGUGAGUGCCAUGGGGGGGGGGGGGGGGGGAUACAUCCCAUUCCAGUGAAUGAAUAGUCCUGGUCUCAGGAGACUAGUCCAAUAUUAUACCCGCAAUGAUAUUGUAUUGUACAAAACCAUAUUUGUUGGAGAAGGCAUGAUGUACACUGUCAUUAAUAACACAUCCUGGAGUUUCUUUCUUUGAAGAGUUCCAAAGUUGCUAAAAUAAAGUGACAAUUGGCUUAUGUUUAAGGAACAAGUAUAUGAACUGCAAUACAUACUUGACCAAUGUUAAACACAAAAGGGAAAGUGAUGUUGCCCUGGUCUUUAAAAUAAGUUACGGAUAUGGUUAGAUCCAUAGAGGAGUUACAUAAAAUGGCUGGGCAACAUUGGAAACCUCACAAUCGGGAGCAGUUUAGAUUUCAACAUAGGACAAAACACUAGGUAAAAGAGUAAGAAAGAACGUGAGAGUAAACUUGAGCAAAAAAAGUAACAUUGUUGGGAAUAUAAAAAGGACUGCUAAUGCUUCUGCGGAAAAUGAAAAAAAGAAAAUGAUUAGUGUAGAUCAGGACAGCUACAGUCACAAGAGAGAUACUUCAUCAGGGAGAAUGGAGAAAUGAAUGAGCAAUUAUCCAAAUACUUUGUUGCUUUCAAAGAUGAAAAUGCAAAUAAUAUUUCAGAAAUGUUACAUUUGUAGUCGCAAGAGUUUGGAAGAAUGAGAUGGGUUCUAAUGCAUGAAUUCUAUCAGGACUGAUCAGACUGGUCAUAGGAAGGAUGCUUCCCUUGGUGCCAGUAUCUAGAAUGAUGGGUCACAGUUGAGUGGACACGAUAAGAGAUUCAGGACUGAAGUGAGGAGAAAUGUCUUCACACAAAGAAGGGUGAAUGAUUAGAAAUCAGGAUGUAAGUGGGCUCUAGAAGCCAAGCCAAUGAAUAUAUUUAAGAAAUAUAUUUCUAUAUGCGAAUCAAAGAGAAUGGGAACAGGAAUAUGUUAAAAUGACACAUGCUUAGCCUUGAUGGUGUCAAAUGGCGGAAUAGGCGUUAAUGGCAAAAUCAUCUAUUUCUGUUCAUUUUGUCUUUUUUCCAGUGAUUGGAAACUCGGCGUCUCAACUGAGGACUGAAUGGAAGAAUUCCACAAAGCAGUGAUCUGUAAUGUCAUGGAGAACAUGAUGUGAGCAGCAAAUACAAUAUUCUAUGUGAAGAAGUGCAGACAGAGAAGCAAAACCAACUGCUGUAAAGUCCAGAAGCAAAAUAUAACAGAUGCUGGGCAUAAAAACAGAAAAUGCUGGAAAACAUAGGAAUCUGAGAAAAUAACAAAAUCAAUGCAGGGGUGGACGAUCUGGUCUCUUCAACCUACUCCAGCAUUAAAUAUCUUGGCACUAUCUUUCCAUACCUAUUUGUUAACUCUUUUAAUAUCCAAACAUCUAUCAAUCAGUGUUGAUUUUCACAGCCCCCUGGGUAGUGAACUCCAAAAAUCCCUUUGGUGAAGAAAUGUAGUUUAGCAACAGGAAG